rnacentral:rRNA from 1 species
AUUGAACGCUGGCGGCAGGCCUAACACAUGCAAGUCGAACGGUAACAGGAAGCAGCUUGCUGCUUUGCUGACGAGUGGCGGACGGGUGAGUAAUGUCUGGGAAACUGCCUGAUGGAGGGGGAUAACUACUGGAAACGGUAGCUAAUACCGCAUAACGUCGCAAGACCAAAGAGGGGGACCUUCGGGCCUCCUGCCAUCGGAUGUGCCCAGAUGGGAUUAGCUAGUAGGUGGGGUAACGGCUCACCUAGGCGACGAUCCCUAGCUGGUCUGAGAGGAUGACCAGCCACACUGGAACUGAGACACGGUCCAGACUCCUACGGGAGGCAGCAGUGGGGAAUAUUGCACAAUGGGCGCAAGCCUGAUGCAGCCAUGCCGCGUGUAUGAAGAAGGCCUUCGGGUUGUAAAGUACUUUCAGCGGGGAGGAAGGGAGUAAAGUUAAUACCUUUGCUCAUUGACGUUACCCGCAGAAGAAGCACCGGCUAACUCCGUG